rnacentral:tRNA from 1 species
GUGGGUAUAGCUCAGUGUUAGAGCCCAUGCUUAGCAUGCACGAGGUCCUGAGUUCAAUCCCCAGUACCUCCA